rnacentral:misc_RNA from 1 species
GAGGGAUAGGUCGGGUUCUGACGAAGCCCUAUACCACAAGUCUCUGGUGGACUGAAAGCCCUGCUAUCGCAAUCAUCUUGGAAAACCCCUUAUGCCUAGCGUCGAAGCUUUGUCUUUCGGGACUGACUAGUUGCUGAAAGAGUGAGGCCUUGAUCGGAGCAGCUAUAAGGUAACUUUUUCGGUGUUCGAAAGGUUGCAAAGUGGAGCAAAGUAUAAGGACAAGUUUUUCGGGUUGUUUUACAGUAGCAGGAAGUUCCCUC